CGCUGGCGGCAGGCCUAACACAUGCAAGUCGCAGGGGAAGCCCGGCUUCGGCCGGGUGGAGACUGGCGCACGGGUGAGUAACGCGUGGGAACCUGCCCUGGGGUACGGAAUAACCACGGGAAACUGUGGCUAAUACCGUAUACGCCCUUUGGGGGAAAGCUUCGGCGCCCUGGGAUGGGCCCGCGUCCGAUUAGCUUGUUGGUGGGGUAAAAGCCUACCAAGGCUCCGAUCGGUAGCUGGUCUGAGAGGAUGAUCAGCCACACUGGGACUGAGACACGGCCCAGACUCCUACGGGAGGCAGCAGUGGGGAAUAUUGGACAAUGGGGGAAACCCUGAUCCAGCCAUGCCGCGUGAGUGAAGAAGGCCUUAGGGUUGUAAAACUCUUUCGGCGGGGAAGAUGAUGACGGUACCCGCAGAAGAAGCCCCGGCUAACUCCGUGCCAGCAGCCGCGGUAAUACGGAGGGGGUUAGCGUUGAAGCC
rnacentral:rRNA from 1 species